UACGUAGGUGACAAGCGUUGUCCGGAUUUACUGGGCGUAAAGAGCGCGCAGGCGGUCGUUCAAGUCGAGUGUGAAAGCCCCCGGCUCAACUGGGGAGGGUCAUUCGAUACUGAUCGACUCGAAGGCAGGAGAGGGAAGUGGAAUUCCCGGUGUAGUGGUGAAAUGCGUAGAUAUCGGGAGGAACACCAGUAGCGAAGGCGGCUCGCUGGGCCACACCUGACGCUGAGACGCGAAAGCUAGGGGAGCGAACAGG
rnacentral:rRNA from 1 species